GUGUCUUUGCGAGCCUUCAGUUUUUCUUUGGUCACAGUGCUUCCUGGAAACAGAGCAAAAUGUCCCCGAACUGGCUGCAGGAUCCGUGACCUGAAGGAAAGGUGCUGGUUUGGGCUCAGGACCAUGCUAUUGUGGCAGUGGUGGCAGCGAGAGUGUCUCUGAGUCACGAUGAGCUGGAGGUGGCUAAUGAACGUCAGCUGGUACAAAAAGGCUGGGCACUUCUCAGCUGCUCCACGGCCUCGUGACUUCUCCUGGUCCACGUCUCAGCCUCAUUGCUCCAAGCCAGGCCAAUGCUUGGGGCAGUCCUUCAGCUCCCUAGGGCUCCCAGCCAUCCUUCAAGAUGCCUCCAGUCUUCUUCUGCCAUCUGCUCUCCUCCAUUCCUGACAUCUCCAGAGCCUCACUCCUCACCCACCAGUACAUCUCGAGGACGUGGUGCUUAGGGACAUGGUUUGUGUCACCAGGACGAUGUCAUUGUCAUGCGGUCAUUGUCACCACAGAAGCUCCUUGCUCCAUCGAGAUGAGGAUGUGGCUCUCGGUGAUGGGAACGCUGGUGGCCUGCCCUUGUUUCAUCCUUUGGCAGCAAGUCCCAGCCAGCAGCAGACGACACCUGUAGCAUCUUAAGGGAGGAAACGGGUGGCACGCAUGGCCCGAGUUCCUGCACAAGGACUGCCAUUGUUCAGGCCCUGCUGGCAUUGUCUUUACCGCCCGGCCUGGCAUGCUCCCAUGUCCUCAUUUCCCCCGCUCGCUGUGGCUGUAUCAGUCCCUCAACCUCACCACGUUACAUGAGAGGGAAACCUCAGCUCAUGCCUGCGACCGUAAGCUCGGUUUCCUUCCCGCUGCACUCAUUUCCCAGCAACGGUGACAAGCAGCUUCGAUUUACUGCCUCUGAGGGAGUUUUAGGCUGAAGGCUUUAUGCAAGCCAGAGCGUGGCUGCAGCCAGGGGCAGGACGUGGGUCCCGCAGCCUCCAUCCCUGUGCCACCCUUGGGUGCAGGAUGGCCGUGUGGGUCUUUCCUGGGAACAAACAUCCACAGGGAUGCAAUUUGCUGCUCGUCUUACACUGACCCAGCUAUCGUUAGCUGAUGAUUUUCAAUGGAGGUGCUCGUGCCUAAUGGGAGAUUGCCAAGCUAGGA